rnacentral:lncRNA from 1 species
GCAGCUGCCGGACACCAGGAGACGAUGGAAGGUCUAUAGUGUUACAGCUCUGACCCAGGAAGUCCCAGGGUCUUGCCUUCCAGAAGGGUCGCGGCUCUUCCCUCCCUCAGUCCAACGAACAGGAGCACGUCACCUCCCGCAGCUCGGGGAGCUGGCCAGGAACGUGUUACAGCCCGUUUCGCUCCUGUCCGCAGCUGGGUGAGGCAGCCAGGAAAAUAUUACAGCUCUUCUCACGCCCGCCAUUCAGCAGGUCCUGACUUCUUGUGUGACAUCCAGAAGAAAGGGGUUACACAGACAGCUGGAGGGUGAGCAAAGUGGAGAAGUUCUCAGCAGAGAGGAGACUGGAGUGAGUUGCCCCUACCCGCAGGUGCCAACUGUAAUACAUCAGUAGCUGAACAGCUCAUUGCCCUCAAGUGUUCUUGCUCAUGCCUGGCUGAGUUAUUGAAGAAAUUGCUCAGAUCUCAAGCCCUUGUAGAUCACUGGUCCUGGCAGAUGUUAUGGGGAACUCGCUAUGUUGCCCAGGCUGGUCUUGAACUCAUGGUCUCAGGCAGUCCUCCUGCCUCAGCUUCCCAAAGUGCUGGAAUUACAGAUUAUACACCCGUGAUAUUGAUGGCAGUGGCUGCUGCUGUCGUGGCUGCUGCUAUCACGCCUGCUGCAACACAGAGGUGCGACUGGGGCUGCACAUUUCACGGAGGUGUUGGGAGUUCCGCCCCUUCUGAUGUGGGGAAAGAGAUCCCCAGGUGCCCCUGCAUCUGCCCAAACUGUGGCUGUGGAUCGGAGGCUCCAGGUUGGCAGGUUGGGAGCUUCCGGGUGCAGCUGCGACCGCCCUCCCAGGUGCAGGACCCUGGUGUUUCUGCAGCCUGCACCCUUGGGGGCCCCAGGAAAGACCCAUAUCCUUGCAGGCUUGGAGGUGUUUGCUUCUUCUGCCUGGCCUCUCUCGGCUCCCGGUGCAUGCUCUCAUAUCUGAGUGGGGGUUGGUGCUGAGCCCCGGGGCCGUGAAUUGCAGCAGGAGGCAGAUUUAUUCCUGGGCAGAAGGUGGCAGAUCCCAAGUAAGGGGACCUUCAAGCCAGGGAGGGCCUGAAGGCUGGUGGCUGGGCUACCAGUCCCACCGACCAGAGUGGGGAUUCGUGGGCCUCUUCUGGGCCACCCAUAGCCACCCAUGGACCAAUCAGCAAGCACAUCCUCCCCUCUGAGGUCCGUAAAAGCCCUGGGCGCAGCCUGAGCAGGGCAGAGGAAGGCCAGAGGUGAAGGAGUCAGAGAGGCGACAGGAUAGGCAGCUGCCGAGAGAAGUACGCCUCUCUGCUGAGACCUGGAGAUGACGGGAAGGCCAGAUGCAGAGAGGAGCUACCCUCUCUGCUUAGAGCUGCCAGGAGGAGCUACCAACCUUCUCUGCUGAGAGCUGCAGAGAUGACCUGCUGGCAGAGAGGAGCUACCCACUGCGGGUCUCCUCUGAUCUGUUGUAAUGCUGAAUAAAGCUUCUUUUCAUCUUGUUCACCUUCCACUUGUCUGCAUACCUCAUUCUACCCGGACGCAAGCAAGAACUCGAGCAAAGGCACAACCAGCCACAGAGGUUUCUGGCCAGAAAAUCGACACCCCAAAAGUCCUAUAACAAUCUGAUUCUAAAAGCAACAUCAUCUUUUCAAUGUAAUUCUAAAAGAAUUUGGGAUUAUUUUAUUUAAUUUCAGGAUCCCCUCUGAAGAAAAUCAACUUACAAAGGAUGGCAGGUCUUAAGAAAGGUACUUAGCAAGUGCUGGUACAUUCUAAGCAAUCAAUAUUUGUCAAUGUUCAGUAAUUGUACAAUUGUACUAGAGAAAACAAUUCCAGGGGCUUAAAAUUAUCUUAUACAAGGAUCCACUUUAUUAUUAUUUUUUCUGUUUGUUUUGGAUAAAUUACUGACUCCUUAUCUCAGUUAUGUUAUGUGUUAAAUGUUUACAGUGUUAUUUUGUAUCUCUCAAGGGCUUUUGUUAGAAUUUUCAAUGAGAUACCUUAAAACCUCUAAAAAGAAAAUGGAUGUUAUAAGUAAAUAAAAAUAAGUCUGAAUGGC